GGAAGUGGUAGAUCAGUGGGUAAGACGUUGGACUUCUGAUUAGAAGGUCAUGAGUUCAAAUCUCAGCACCACCA